rnacentral:misc_RNA from 1 species
GCAUUCUCUUCAGUUGUCUGCUAAGGCUUUGUUGUCUUGGUGGAYUGUGGGUUUCCUGUGUUGCCUACCUAAGCAAUGGUAUUGUGUGAUUGAUGCUAUACCUUUUUCUUCUAAUGUCAUACCAAUGACACUAGAUGAACCAUGAAGCGGUUUCUUUGAUCCACCUUAUCAAUGAUUGUGUUGAUUUUGUGGCUCAUUGAGCAUCGCUUGGUCUCUUGGAUAUAGAACUUGAUUUGAGCAGGGGGUCUCAUGUGGCCUUUGUUUCGCUUUCAUUCAGUAUGUGUGCUUCUCUUUAAAAAAUAAGACGCCUCGCCCGGAAUGUGCAUGUUCCCCCGGGGUGGUAAGUCAAAGGGAAAUACACAUCCUGUUUGAUGUGGGCAUUGUGUCUCUUGUGAUCCUUGUUUGCUCUUGGUUAGCGUUUGUGCCUUGUGUGAGCAUGGGGUCUCAUGUGGUUGUUGUUUUGCUUUCUUACAGCUUGUGYGUUUCCCUUUAAAAAAAUAGACGCCUCGCCCGGAAUGUGCAUGUUCCCCCGGGGUGGUAUGUCAAAGGGAAAUGCAUUUGCUGUUUGAUGUGGGCAUGAUGCCUCAUGUGAUCMUUGUUUUGCUCUCAUUUGGUGUUGGCGCUUCUCUUCUAAUGACGGCCUCGUUUGCUUGGACUUGUACCAGCAUGUGAGGCCAUGUCAAAGAGGAUGC